AUAUUGGACAAUGGGGGAAACCCUGAUCCAGCCAUGCCGCGUGUGUGAAGAAGGCCCUAGGGUUGUAAAGCACUUUAAUUGAGGAAGAAGGGGUUUUGGCUAAUAUCCAAGAUCAUUGACAUUACUCAAAGAAUAAGCACCGGCUAACUCCGUGCCAGCAGCCGCGGUAAUACGGAGGGUGCAAGCGUUAAUCGGAAUUACUGGGCGUAAAGCGCGCGUAGGCGGCUUGUUAAGUCGGAUGUGAAAGCCCUGGGCUCAACCUGGGAAUGGCCUUCGAUACUGGCAAGCUAGAGUACAAGAGAGGGUGGUGGAAUUUCUAGUGUAGCGGUGAAAUGCGUAGAUAUUAGAAGGAACAUCAGUGGCGAAGGCGGCCACCUGGCUUGAUACUGACGCUGAGGUGCGAAAGCGUGGGGAGCAAACAGG
rnacentral:rRNA from 1 species